GUGGGGAAUUUUGCACAAUGGGCGAAAGCCUGAUGCAGCGACGCCGCGUGAGGGAUGGAGGCCUUCGGGUUGUGAACCUCUUUCGCUCAUGGUCAAGCCGCGCGUGUGCGUGUGGUGAGGGUAGUGGGUAAAGAAGCGCCGGCUAACUACGUGCCAGCAGCCGCGGUAAUACGUAGGGCGCGAGCGUUGUCCGGAAUUAUUGGGCGUAAAGGGCUUGUAGGCGGUUGGCCGCGUCUGCCGUGAAAUCCUCUGGCUUAACUGGGGGCGUGCGGUGGGUACGGGUUGACUUGAGUGCGGUAGGGGAGACUGGAAUUCCUGGUGUAGCGGUGGAAUGCGCAGAUAUCAGGAGGAACACCGGUGGCGAAGGCGGGUCUCUGGGCCGUUACUGACGCUGAGGAGCGAAAGCGUGGGGAGCGAACAGGAUUAGAUACCCGAGUAGUCC
rnacentral:rRNA from 1 species